UAUUAGAAAGAAUACCAAUUGCGAAGGCAGCUUUCUGGAUCAUUACUGACACUGAGGAACGAAAGCAUGGGUAGCGAAGAGGAUUAGAUACCCUCGUAGUCCAUGCCGUAAACGAUGUGUGUUAGACGUUGGAAAUUUAUUUUCAGUGUCGCAGCGAAAGCGAUAAACACACCGCCUGGGGAGUACGACCGCAAGGUUAAAACUCAAAUGAAUUGACGGGGACCCGCACAAGUAGUGGAGCAUGUGGUUUAAUUCGAAGAUACGCGCAGAACCUUACCAACACUUGACAUGUUCGUCGCGACUUUAAGAGAUUAAAGUUUUCGGUUCGGCCGGACGAAACACAGGUGCUGCAUGGCUGUCGUCAGCUCGUGUCGUGAGAUGUUGGGUUAAGUCCCGCAACGAGCGCAACCCUCACUUUUAGUUGCCAUCAUUUAGUUGGGCACUCUGAAAGAACUGCCAGUGAUAAGCUGGAGGAAGGUGGGGAUGACGUCAAGUCCUCAUGGCCCUUACGUGUUGGGCUACACACGUGCUACAAUGGUAUCUACAACAGGAAGCAAGACUGCGAAGUUAAGCAAAUCCUUAAAAGAUACCUCAGUUCGGAUUGCACUCUGCAACUCGAGUGCAUGAAGCUGGAAUUACUAGUAAUCGUGGAUCAGCGUGCCACGGUGAAUGCGUUCCCGGGCCUUGUACACACCGCCCA
rnacentral:rRNA from 1 species